UAAAAAUAAGAAUAAAAGAGGGAAAAAAACGUGAAAAAAACCUGAAGAUUUGCCCUAUUGUUAAGCAUAUAUGAUAUAUUAUUCUUGCCUUUCAAGGCAAGAGCCAGAGGAGCAAAGAUACAAAAAAAGUAGGUGGCUGAGAAAAUAAGAAAAAAUUACUAUUCCAUUGCAUUUGAUCCUAGUUGUUAGGCCUCUUCCCAAUAAACAUCUGUUUUACUUUCGUGAUUUUGUUGAGGUUUACUGCUGCACUGACUGGAGACUGGGUUUAGUGGCUAUGAUUUUUGAAAUUGUUUAAGUUUAGAUGUUGAUUUAAAAUCAUUUUAUGGGCUCCUUGUACCUCUUUUCCUUGAGUUCGAAAUCAUCUUGUUGUUUAUUCUUUGACUGCUGGGAUUUGGGAUUGUUUUGAUUGACUGUAGUUGCUGAUAUUUUGUUUUAUAUCUGCUGAUCAAUCACCCUUGUUUUCUUUUCAUUUUUCAGGUAUAUUUUGGCUCUUACGGAUAUCAUCCAAGUGUAACAUGAAGUCUUGAUUCUGGAAUACAAACGAUUAAUAACUUUGAAUCUCCUUCCAAUUGUCUCAUUUUUAGCUGUUAAACUUUAUUUAGGUUGUAGUUGUGCACCCUAUUUACAUGAUGCUUACCUGUGAUUUUCUUUGUUUUAGUUUAUUCCUGUA
rnacentral:lncRNA from 1 species